AUACGGAGGAUCCAAGCGUUAUCCGGAUUUAUUGGGUUUAAAGGGAGCGUAGGUGGAUUGUUAAGUCAGUUGUGAAAGUUUGCGGCUCAACCGUAAAAUUGCAGUUGAAACUGGCAGUCUUGAGUACAGUAGAGGUGGGCGGAAUUCGUGGUGUAGCGGUGAAAUGCUUAGAUAUCACGAAGAACUCCGAUUGCGAAGGCAGCUCACUAGACUGUUACUGACACUGAUGCUCGAAAGUGUGGGUAUCAAACAGGAUUAGAUACCCUGGUAGUCCACACAGUAAACGAUGAAUACUCGCUGUUUGCGAUAUACAGUAAGCGGCCAAGCGAAAGCAUUAAGUAUUCCACCUGGGGAGUACGCCGGCAACGGUGAAACUCAAAUGAAUUGACGGGG
rnacentral:rRNA from 1 species